UUUAUGUUUAUUUGAUUUAUAUGAAAACUAUUAGUAUCAUGUUGAUUUGUUAGUCACUUUGAAAAUUAUUAGUUGUAAAUCCAUAGUGACAUAACAAGUUAGCAUAUUGUGAACAGUAUUGUAAGAUCUAGGACAUCAUGGACACUUUACUAUAAAAGUUAUGAAAUUUCUAGAUAUAUACAUGCAUUGCUAAAUUUAUUAACAUGAAACAGAGUAUGGGAAUUCCUGAACAUCGAAAAUGGAUGUAUAAAAGACUUCUUCCCAAUCGUGCUGGAAUGAGAAUUGAAUUUGUUAGUGGUGUUAAGAAUUUUAUAGAACAAGCAAUUAGGCAACCUGAGUUUACAGAUAAUGGGGGUAAGCUUAGGUGUCCUUGCAGUAAACAUAGAAACAUAGAUUUCUUAACUCCAGGUGAGGUUACCCUUGAUUUGUAUAAGCAUGGUUUCCAACCAAGCUAUUGGUGUUGGGAUUCUCAUGGGGAGAGUUCUUUAAGCUCAAGUAGUAGAAAUGCAAAUAAUGUGAACAGAGAAAGCACUUGCAACCAGCCGUCAAGUUUUGAGUCACAAAGAAAUAACUAUGAGGCUAUGAUUGUUGAUGUUAUUAGGCCAGAAAAUUUGGACCAAUUUGAGCCACAGUAGGAGGAACCUCCAAACAGGGAAGCCAAACUCUUUUAUGAUUUGUUACAAUCUGCGCAACGACCAUUGUGGGAGGGUUGUGAUACCCACUCUGAAUUAUCUAUGGCGGUUGAACUGUUGACUAUUAAAUCUGAGGGGAAUAUGUCUCAAAAAGGAUUUGAUAAGCUACUAAAAACUAUGAAGAAGGGUAUGCCUAAGGAUAACUGUCUCGUCCCUAAUUUCUACUAUGCAAAGAAGUUGGUAUCAAAGCUUGGAAUGGAAAGUAAAGUAAUAGAUUGUUGCAUCAACGGUUGUAUGUUGUACUACAAAGACUACGAAAUGGCAAAAGAAUGUCAGUUCUGCCAUGCUCCAAGGUAUAGGGUAGGUAAAGGGGGUAAAGAGUUAGCUUUAAAGAGUAUGCAUUAUCUACCGAUCACACCAAGGUUAAAGAGACUAUACGCGUCAGAAAAUUCUGCACGCCAUAUGAGAUGGCAUUAUGAGCACCAACAAGUUGAGGGUGUCCUUGAACAUCCUUCUGAUGCAGAAGCAUGGAAGCAUUUUGAUCAAAAGUAUUCAGAAUUUGCUUCUGAAUCACGCAACGUAAGACUUGGAUUAUGUUCUGAUGGAUUUACUCCUUUUGGUCAAUCUGCUUCUCCAUAUUCAUGUUGGCCUGUAAUAGUGACUCCAUACAACCUCCCUCCAUGGAUGUGUAUGUCUACUCCUUAUUUGUUUUUGACAAUGAUCAUUCCCGGCCGUAGAAAUCCCAAAAGUAAGAUAGAUGUGUAUUUACAGCCAUUGAUUGAUGAGUUAAAGUCAUUGUGGGACGAGGGGGCUUUAACCUAUGACAGCAUAUGGAAUGUUGUCAGGAUGGAUGACAGCCGGAAAAAUGGCAUGUCCUUGUUGUAUGCAUCACACAAAAGCAUUCCGAUUGGAGAAUGGUGGUAAGUCAUCAUGGUUUGACUGUCAUAGAAAAUUCUUGCCAAGUGAUCACCCAUUUAGAAGAAAUAAGGAUGGAUUUUAUAAGAAUAGGGUUGUGAGAUCAGAACUGCCUCCUAGGUUGACCGGCGAACAAGUAUGGAAUGAAGUUCAGACAAUGCCAAUGAUAAUGGACAAUAUUGAUGAAGUUCGAAUUCCAGGUUAUGGAGAUAAACAUAAUUGGAAAAAACGAAGCAUUUUUUGGGAAUUGCCUUAUUGGAGCACUAACUUGAUUCGACACAAUCUUGAUGUCAUGCAUAUUGAGAAAAAUGUAUUUGAUAAUGUGUUUAAUACUGUUAUGGACAUCAAAGGAAAAACUAAAGAUAAUAUAAAGGCAAGAAUGGAUUUGAAGUUAUAUUGCAAGCGCAAGGACUUAGAAUUACUUGAACACAGUAAUGGGAGGACCAUAAAGCCCAAGGCAAACUACACAUUUACUCUGGAGCAAAAAAGAGCAAUUUGUGAAUGGGUAAAAUGUUUAAAGAUGCCAGAUGGAUAUGCUUCAAACUUGGCUAGAUGUGUUGACAUGAAGGAAGGAAAGUUACAUGGAAUGAAAAGUCAUGAUUGUCAUGUGUUCAUGGAACGCUUGCUUCCAAUUGCUUUUAGCUCAUUACCAGAUCAAACAUGGAAAGCUAUAACCGAGCUUAGUCAGUUCUUUAGAGAUCUAUGCUCAACAUCAGUACGAGUAGAUGAUCUUAUUAGCCUUGAGAAAAAUAUUCCAAUAGUGAUAUGUAAAUUGGAACGCAUUUUUCCUCCGGGUUUUUUUGACUCAAUGGAACACCUACCCAUUCACUUACCAUAUGAAGCAAGAGUUGGAGGUCCAGUGCAAUAUAGAUGGAUGUAUCCCUUUGAGAGGUAUUAUUUUCAUGCACCAUAGACAUAAUUUUUAGCUUAUUGUCUACAUCAAUAGUUCAUUUUUUUUUUUUUUGUAAAUUUUGUGUUACCAAAAAAUUCUUUAUUUAUCGCAGAUUUCUCCAUCACCUUAAAAAGAAGGUUAAAAAUAAGGCACGUGUUGAAGGAUCAAUAAUUGAGUCAUACCUUAUUGAGGAGAUUUCUCAAUUUUGCACGUAUUAUUUCGAGACAAGUGUGCAAUCCAACAAUACUAGCAUUGGAAGAACAGGGGGUGAUCAUGAUUUGGCACAAUCUUUAUUUCCCAUUUUUAAUUUGCCUGGUAGAUUUGCUGGUCAAUGCAAAAGUCGUUUUUUGGAGGAUAAGGAAUUUACUGCUGCCAUGAAUCAUGUAUUAAUCAAUUGUGAUGAGAUUCAACCCUAUAUUGAGUAAGUACUUUCUAAAAUUUAUAAUUCUUCAUUUCCUAACUGUGAUAAUUAUAAUUGAAUUAAAUUAUGUAACAAUAGGAUCUUUGUUGAGACACUACGAAAAACUCAUCCUAAUAUGAGCGAUGAACAUGCUGAUAAAUGCAUUGAAGAAAACUUUGCAGCAUGGUUAAAAGAAUAUGUAAGUAUAUUUUGAAUACUUUUCAGCAUAUUGAUUACAUACAUAUUAUUUUUUACAAGUUCUUUUAGUAACACUCUUAUUGUUGGGUGAUUUUUAAAUAGGUUGACAAUCCUUCAAAUAAUGUGCUAGAUCCAAAUAUACAUGCUUUAGCAUGGGGUCCUUUAAGAAUUGUAAAAACUUGGCCUAUUUACUUUGUGAAUGGCUUCAAAUUUCACACGAAAGCACAUUCAAUUGGAAAGUCUACUAUGAAUUGUGGAGUGUGUGUUAAAGGUACGGGCUAUGGUGACUAUGAAAAUGACUUUUAUGGUCAACUUGAAGAAAUAGUUCAAAUUGAAUAUCCUAGAAUACCACUGAAGAAGGUUGUGUUGUUUAAAUGUGAGUGUUUUGAUCCUACAAUUGAUAGAGGAACAAGGCUUAAUAAACAAUAUGGAAUCAUUCAAAUUCGACAUAAUCGACAUUAUGGGAAGUAUGAUCCAUUUAUUGUUGCAGAUAAGGCAAUUCAAGUUUAUUUUGCUCCACAUCCAAUAUGCUCUAGGAUUAAUGCAGAUUGGUGGUUUGUAGUCAAAACAAAGGCAAGAGGUGUGAUUGAGGAUCAACAAGUUGAUGACUCUGCAUAUCAAGAGGAUUUUCUGGAUCAAAAUAUGGUUGGCAUCUCAGCUGACAUAGAUUUGCCUGCGAAUUUACUAGAUGUUGAGGGAAGAUUUGAUGAGGUUGAUGACCAUGAGUUGAUAGUUAAUGAUGACAUGGACAAGGAUGAUGAUGAUGACGAGGAGGAGGAGGUGGAGGAAGAAGAAGAAGAAGAAGAAGAAGAAGAGAUGAUGGAUAGUGGUUGGUGAGCGAGACAAUGAUGAAAGGUUUAGGGAUCAAAGUGAUAAUAAGGAAUGAAUUUAUUUAUUUUAAUAUUUCUAAUAAUUUUUUUUACUAUGUUCUGCCUUGAUGUUUUACUAUGUUCAGCCUUGAUAUGUACAUUAUGCCAAUUGUUUUUCCGGUGUGGUUUUAUUGUUAGUGCUGGUCUAAUUGCCUUGGUUUGUUGGGUCUGUUUUGCUUGGGAGUUAAUCAAAUUGUUGUUUUAAAUGUCUGGAAGAGGUACUAAUAGAGGUGGAAGGACUUUAUCCUCUCGAGGUCGAUACUCAACUAGUAGAGGGAGAAUUGCUGUUGAAGUUACACCUACUAUACCAUCUCCAUUAAAUCAAUCAUUAUCACCUGCACAACUUACGCUAUCACAAAACAUAAACACUAUACCAUCAGCAUCACCAUCACCAACUCAAACCCCAACACUAACUCCGACCCCAUCAGCUACUAUACCUCAAAAUCCAACUCCAAACACAUCAACUACCAUACCUCAAAAUUCUGAACAAACUUUGCCACACACUCAAUCAUCUGCCAUUGAACCUGAUGAUGAUGAAGGAAUUGAGCAAGA
rnacentral:lncRNA from 1 species